CUCCACUAAGACUGAUGGGGUUUAGAGAAACCAGUAAAAAGUCACUUCUUCCUGACUGGAUUUGGCCCAGAGUGAAGAACAGACACAGGAAUUAAGAAGCCAUUCAACACUGGACUGGAGGUGUACCUCAGGGUACAGGCUGCCCUACAGGACUGAAGGCAUGGAGAAACAGAGGGAAAUUUGCACUGCCCAACAGAACAAUGGAAGGAAGGAAACAGAUAAUUGUAACAGCCAAGCAGCUGAUGGGAGGAGGAGAAAGAAGAGGAGGAGGAGGAAGAGGAAGAAGACUACUAGCUAUGGAAUGAACUGGGAGAAGUUGGUAUUCAGAGCUGUCCUGAUUGAAGAAACCAGCAAUCCUCUAAGCAAGAGGUACAAGAAGUUAAAGCUGUAUAGCAUGGAAACACUUAAACACAUGAAUGCAUCAUAAAUCAAGGUGACAGUAAUGACUGCUGUUGGCUGUAAUCGGCUUUGAGCUGUUUCAGCAGCAGUGGGAUUGAAGGGCCAAGCCUACUCUCCUCUCCCCUCUACUUUGCUUUCCUAAAAAGCCACAUGGAAUUACAUGAAAUUGAGUAAGUGCUGCCAUCAGUCAGGUAGCAAGCAACAGAAUUUGACUGCACUUGAAGCCAAAAUGAAAAUUCAUUAAGAGAAUAGAGAGGCUCAUAGAAAACAAGAGGAAGCUGGGGAGUGGGGGAAAGCUUGGAAAAUCAGCCAGAGAGAGCAAAGCUCUGGACACCUGUUGUACAAUUCCUAGGCAGAAGCUUUUAUUCUCAUUGAUCAGGGAGUGGCAAACUAUGGUGCACCAAUGAAUUCUGGCCCACUAUAGAUUUUUUUUUAAAUAAAGUUUUAUUUGUUUGUU